AGAUAUGAGGGUAAAUCAGGUUGUGAUAUCUGUCAGCCCAUUGAUCACCAGGGUUUAUUUGAUUGAUCUAGAUGGCUAGGUAGGUGUCUCUUCCUCCCUUACCACCCUAACUGCGUCCCUUCUAAAGUUAUGUGGUUGGUUAAAAGAAAAAAAAGACCUUCCCUAAUAGAGGAGGGCCNGUCUUUGUCAAGGGUAUAUGAGUAGCUGCACAUAGCUGCUAGAACUUCCAAGCAAGCUCUCAACGUGUUUGACGCUUUAACUAGGCAAUUCAUUUUAUUGAUUGAUUGUAU
rnacentral:snRNA from 1 species